rnacentral:rRNA from 1 species
AUUGAACGCUAGCGGGAUGCUUUACACAUGCAAGUCGAACGGCAGCGCGAGGGAGCUUGCUCUCUUGGCGGCGAGUGGCGGACGGGUGAGUAAUAUAUCGGAACGUGCCCAGUAGCGGGGGAUAACUACUCGAAAGAGUGGCUAAUACCGCAUACGCCCUACGGGGGAAAGGGGGGGAUCGCAAGACCUCUCACUAUUGGAGCGGCCGAUAUCGGAUUAGCUAGUUGGUGGGGUAAAGGCUCACCAAGGCAACGAUCCGUAGCUGGUUUGAGAGGACGACCAGCCACACUGGGACUGAGACACGGCCCAGACUCCUACGGGAGGCAGCAGUGGGGAAUUUUGGACAAUGGGGGAAACCCUGAUCCAGCCAUCCCGCGUGUAUGAUGAAGGCCUUCGGGUUGUAAAGUACUUUUGGCAGAGAAGAAAAGGUAUCUCCUAAUACGAGAUACUGCUGACGGUAUCUGCAGAAUAAGCACCGGCUAACUACGUGCCAGCAGCCGCGGUAAAAC